rnacentral:rRNA from 1 species
GGGCAGGAAGACAGGUGGUGCAUGGUUGUCGUCAGCUCGUGUCGUGAGAUGUUGGGUUAAGUCCCGCAACGAGCGCAACCCCUAUUGUUAGUUGCUACCAUUAAGUUGAGCACUCUAGCGAGACUGCCCGGGUGAACCGGGAGGAAGGUGGGGAUGACGUCAAAUCAUCAUGCCCCUUAUGUCUAGGGCUACACACGUGCUACAAUGGCGAGUACAACGAGACGCAAUACCGCGAGGUGGAGCAAAACUUAAAAAACUCGUCCCAGUUCGGAUUGUAGGCUGAAACUCGCCUACAUGAAGCCGGAGUUGCUAGUAAUCGCGAAUCAGAAUGUCGCGGUGAAUACGUUCCCGGGCCU